CCUACGGGGGGCUGCAGUGGGGAAUAUUGGACAAUGGGCGCAAGCCUGAUCCAGCAAUACCGCGUGUGUGAAGAAGGCCUGAGGGUUGUAAAGCACUUUUAAUCGGGAGGAAUAGCGGUCGGUUAAUACCCGGUCGUCUGACAUUACCGAUAGAAAAAGCACCGGCUAACUCCGUGCCAGCAGCCGCGGUAAUACGGAGGGUGCAAGCGUUGAGCGGAAUUACUGGGGGUGGAUGGUGCGGUCAGAUUUGAAAGCCCCGGGCUUAACCUGGGAACGGCAUUUGAAACUGAUCGACUGGAGUUGGGUAGAGGGGAGUGGAAUUUCAGGUGUAGCGGUGAAAUGCGUAGAUAUCUGAAGGAACACCAGUGGCGAAGGCGGCUCCCUGGACCCAAACUGACGCUGAGGCACGAAAGCGUGGGUAGCAAACAGGAUUAGAUACCCUGGUAGUC
rnacentral:rRNA from 1 species